GUGGCAGGGUGCCCAGGUCUGCAUACACACCUCCCAGCGCAGGCUUGGCCCCUGAGCUGCUCGGGCUAGGGGCCACGCUGCCUGGCAACGACCACCAAGAACAGAGGCCCAGGCAGCAGCACCUCUCCCCGGUUCCAGUUGUUAGGUAUACGAGCCAGCCAUGCAUGCCCAGGAAGUGACAGGGAGCAGGGCGGGGAGGGGAGGGGAGGGGACUGCCAAAUUCAGGGCUUCAGUUCACAGGAAACCACAGACACAGAUCCUUGGUGGCCGGGUUAGGGACGAGGGGCAGUGGCAGGAUGCCAGGGGUGGGGGGGAAUAAAGGAGCUGGGUGCUACUUACUGUUGGAGACAGCAGAGGGAAGACCAUGUUGGAAAUGUCUCCCAAAGGGUCCUUGGGGGGCAAUGACACCCUGCCCCGCUAGCAGAUGAUGCCAGAAGGCUGAGGAGAAUUGCCCCCGAUUUGGGUUGCCCUCCUUCUCUCCACCUGCUGCCCCCAGGAUCAGCGAAGUGAAGCCCAAAUACUAUGCAGAUGGGGAAGACGCAUAUGCGAUGAAGCGGGAUCUCACCCAGAUGGCUGAUGAGAAAAAGGCCAGGAAGGACACACCAAACGAAUAACUAUGGUUACCUCUGAAAGGUGAGGAAGACGACCAGGAUUGGUAGCAGCAGUCAAAGAGGAUUUUAGUCCUGUCUGUAACGUUUUCAUUUUUUAAAGGAAAAUAUAUUUAUGUAUUAUAUAAUUAAAAA